UAUCGCGUAGGAAACUACCAGCUCUUGACAUUCGGGGUAUGGGCAUUGGAGACGAUGUCCUUCAGUUAGGCUGGCCCCAGAACAGGUGCUGCAUGGCUGUCGUCAGCUCGUGUCGUGAGAUGUUGGGUUAAGUCCCGCAACGAGCGCAACCCUCGCCCUUAGUUGCCAGCAUUUAGUUGGGCACUCUAAGGGGACUGCCGGUGAUAAGCCGAGAGGAAGGUGGGGAUGACGUCAAGUCCUCAUGGCCCUUACGGGCUGGGCUACACACGUGCUACAAUGGUGGUGACAGUGGGCAGCGAGACAGCGAUGUCGAGCUAAUCUCCAAAAGCCAUCUCAGUUCGGAUUGCACUCUGCAACUCGAGUGCAUGAAGUGGAAUCGCUAGUAAUCGCAGAUCAGCAGAUGCGGGAAACGACUA
rnacentral:rRNA from 1 species